rnacentral:rRNA from 1 species
AGGGUUCGAGUUCUGGCUCAGGACGAACGCUGGCGGCGUGCUUCAUACAUGCAAGUCGAACGAGAAACUGACUCGGUCAGUGGAAAGUGGCGGACGGGUGAGUAAUAUGUAGAGAAUCUGCCCUAAAGUGGGGGACAACAGAGGGAAACUUCUGCUAAUACCCCAUAUGCGCGUAGUUGCGAUACUAUUCGUGAAAGAUUUAUCGCUUUAGGAUGAGUCUGCAUCUGAUUAGCUAGUUGGCGGUGUAAUGGACCACCAAGGCGACGAUCAGUAGCUGGUUUGAGAGGAUGAUCAGCCACAAUGGGACUGAGACACGGCCCAUACUCCUACGGGAGGCAGCAGUAGGGAAUUUUGCGCAAUGGGCGAAAGCCUGACGCAGCCAACGCCGCGUGAUCGUAGAGGCCCUUCGGGGUGUAAAGAUUCUGUCAGUAGGGACGAACAAUGACUGUACCUACAGAGGAAGCACCGGCUAACUCCGUGCCAGCAGCCGC